rnacentral:rRNA from 1 species
UGGGGAAUAUUGCACAACGGGCGAAAGCCUGAUGCAGCAACGCCGCGUGAGUGAUGAAGGCCUUCGGGUUGUAAAGCUCUGUCUUUUGGGACGAUAAUGACGGUACCAAAGGAGGAAGCCACGGCUAACUACGUGCCAGCAGCCGCGGUAAUACGUAGGUGGCAAGCGUUGUCCGGAUUUACUGGGCGUAAAGGAUGCGUAGGCGGAUUUUUAAGUGAGAUGUGAAAACCCUAAGCUUAACUUGGGGACUGCAUUUCAUACUGGAAAUCUAGAGUGCGGGAGAGGAGAAUGGAAUUCCUAGUGUAGCGGUGAAAUGCGUAGAGAUUAGGAAGAACACCAGUGGCGAAGGCGAUUCUCUGGACCGUAACUGACGCUGAGGCAUGAAAGCGUGGGUAGCAAACAGGAUUAGAUACCCUGAUAGUCCACGCCGUAAACGAUGAGUACUAGGUGUAGGAGGUAUCGACCCCUUCUGUGCCGCAGUUAAACACAAUAAGUACUCCGCCUGGGAAGUACGAUCGCAAGAUUAAAACUCAAAGGAAUUGACGGGGUCAUAGCUG